rnacentral:rRNA from 1 species
AUUGAACGCUGGCGGCAGGCCUAACACAUGCAAGUCGAGCGAGCGGCGGACGGGUGAGUAAUGUAUGGGGACUGCCCGAUAGAGGGGGAUAACUACUGGAAAAGGUAGCUAAUACCGCAUACUAUCGGAUAACCCAUAUGGGAUUAGCUAGUAGGUGUGUUAAUGGCUCACCUAGGCGACGAUCCCUAGCUGGUCUGAGAGGAUGUUCAGCCACACUGGGACUGAGACACGGCCCAGACUCCUACGGAGGCAGCAGUGGGGAAUAUUGGACAAUGGGCGAAAUCCUGAUCCAGCCAUCCCGCGUGUAUGAUGAAGGCCUUCGGGUUGUAAAGUACUUUUGGCGGGGAAGCGGUAUCUGCAGAAUAAGCACCGGCUAACUACGUGCCAGCAGCCGCGGUAAUUC